GACGAACGCUGGCGACGUGCUUAACACAUGCAAGUCGAACGGAAAGGCCCUGCUUUUGUGGGGUGCUCGAGUGGCGAACGGGUGAGUAACACGUGAGUAACCUGCCCUUGACUUUGGGAUAACUUCAGGAAACUGGGGCUAAUACCGGAUAGGAGCUCCUGCUGCAUGGUGGGGGUUGGAAAGUUUCGGCGGUUGGGGAUGGACUCGCGGCUUAUCAGCUUGUUGGUGGGGUAGUGGCUUACCAAGGCUUUGACGGGUAGCCGGCCUGAGAGGGUGACCGGCCACAUUGGGACUGAGAUACGGCCCAGACUCCUACGGGAGGCAGCAGUGGGGAAUAUUGCACAAUGGGCGGUAGCCUGAUGCAGCAACGCCGCGUGCGGGAUGACGGCCUUCGGGUUGUAAACCGCUUUCGCCUGUGACGAAGCGUGAGUGACGGUAAUGGGUAAAGAAGCACCGGCUAACUACGUG
rnacentral:rRNA from 1 species